GAUGAACGCUGGCGGCGUGCCUAAUACAUGCAAGUCGAGCGGACAGACGAUGAUCUUGCUCCGCUGACGAUAGCGGCGGGCGGGAGAGUAACAUGUGGAUACCCUCCCUAUAAUACUGAGAUAACUUCGGGAAAGCGGAGAUUAUAGCGGAUAAUAUAUUGAACCGUGUGGGUCAAUGGAGAAAUACGGCUUUGCGGGAACGUCUAGAUGCAUCCGGGCCGCAUGAGGUAGUUGGUAAGGUAACGGCUUACGAAGGCAACCAUGCGUAGACGACGUGCUAGAGUGGUCGGCCACAUGAGAACGGAGACAGCGACCAGAGUACUGCGGGAGGCAGCAGUAGCGAAUCUUCCGCAAUGGGCGAAAGCCUGACGGAGCAGCGCCGCGUGAGAGAUGAAGGUCUUCGGAGCGGAAAACUCUGUUAUGAGUGAAGAACAAAUGUGUAAGUAACUAUGCACGUCUUGACGGUACCUACUCAGAAAGCCACGGCUAACUACGUG
rnacentral:rRNA from 1 species